CAGUUAUAAGGUAAAACUAGGUGUCCUUCUGUCUGUCAUUACCUUCAGCUUAUUUCUCCAUUGCUCCUGUGACUGUGGCUUGCUUGAAUAUUCCCUGGGUAUUUUCCUUUUUGUGUCAUGGUUUUUUGUGGCACAGAAUAUAUCACUUUCAAAUCCAGUUUGCUUUGUUCAUUUUAUUCAUCAGAAUAUUAGGGAUCUAAAGCUUAGGAGUUAGAUCAGGCAAUUUUUCAUUUUUCUGUUAUAACAAAUCUUCAUUAAUUUAUCAGAUAAUGUCCAUUAUGUGAUUCUUCCUUCUACAAUAAUCUAAAGACAGGAAACCACAAAUUACCUCAUUCUGCACAAUAAUUCUGAGCUCUGACUCACUUAGAAGGUGUGAUUAGAAUCACAGAAUUUAAAUCUUGAAGGGAAUAGAGAGGUCAUCUCACUGACUUAUCAUGGGAAUCACCUAGCUUGUUUUUUUGUUUUUUUUUUUUUUUAAUAAAGGAUUCCUUCCUUCUUCUUCCCACCCCCAGAGAGGCUGAUUUUCUAGCUCUGACUAGGAGUUCAAGAAUCUGUACUUUUAGAAGUUUCCCUAGGUGAUUCAGAGGAUUAGCUGUCUGAUCCAGUGAUAUAGUUCCCUCUCCCUUCAGAUGGAAGAAUAUCUAACAUUCUCGUCUUGUGAACAUCCAGCUUUUGUCGGAACAGUUUAAGAAAUGAGACCUUCUCUGUAGUCGUGCUUAUAACUUCACAGACUGAUCUUAUAGUAACUUCAUCAUUCAAUCUUUCUGCAAGCACUUGUUAAUGCUUAAGUGAGUACCUGCCCUAUUAACAGGAAAUAUUUGGAAGGACCAAAUGGGCAGGUGCUGUAGAAAACACUUUACAAAUAAUAUAUUUAAUCUCUACAACAGUCCCACAAGGUAGGUUUGUAUAAAUGUCCCCAUUUAAAAAAAUGGCAGUUACAGGAGAUAGAAUUUAAACCCACAUCUACAAGGGGCUCUAUAGCUUAUACGUUUUCCAGUGUUUCAUGUGUAAUAUUCAGUUACAAAAUAAUUACAUAGGCAAGUAAGCCCAAUUUGCUUUUUUAAAUUAAGAGAAGCUAAUUUUUUUCUUAGCCCUAGGAAGAUGCUUAGUUUUUCUAGCCAUCUUAAUUAUGUAAAAAUAAUUAUAGCUGAUAAUUAUUGACCACUUAUGUCCCAGGCUCUUCAUAUGUUAGAUUAAUUGUGCUACUGGAAAUCCCUGUGGGGGAUAUACUAUUAGUGUCUAUAAAAGCAUUUAGGAUUUAAGAUUUCCAGUAUUUUACAGACCUUUUUAAAAUAGAAUAGAUUAUUAUCUCUUGGGAUGGUUUAAACAUUGUGCCUGCUAGAAGACAGAGAAUAGAUAAAUUGAUCUCCCAAAGUCCCUACCAGUCCUUCAGUUCUAUAAGUUGAUUAUAAUUAGCCCUGAGAGACUCUACUGAAAAACUUUCUAUUUCCUGUCAAAUUAAGAAAUGUUUCCAGAGCAUUCAUGGAUUGAGCAGGCUCUAUCUGAUCAUAGUGGUUCACUUUUCCCAUGAGUUCAGUAAGUUAUAUUUUUAGCAUUUUUCAAAGCCUGAAAAAAAUUCAUGCAAAAAUCCCAACAAACCCCAAAGUACUAUUUUCAAAAGGGAGUUUUUUGCCCUCAAAUGGUGAAUUACUUUUCGAGCAACUGUUUGGAGUAAAACUAAGUUAAAUUGAAGAUAUUCAAUUUAAACUUCAAGUUAAAUUGAAGAUAUUCAAUUUAAACUUCAAGUUAAAUUGAAGAUAUUCAAUUUAAACUUCAAGUUAAAUUGAAGAUAUUCAAUUUAACUUCAAGUUAAAUUGAAGAUAUUCUUUAUUUUUUUCCCUUCCACACAGACUAAGAACAUUUUAAAAUGUUUAGACUUAACAGAUAAAAACUACUGUAUUUAAAAUAGACAUGCAACAUGGAUAUACUGUAUAGCACAGGGAAUUCUACCCAUUAUCUUGUAAUAACCCAUAACAGAGUAUAAUCCACCAAAGUACUGAAUCACUAUUCUGUACACCUGAAACUAACAUGGUAUUUAUUGUAAAGCAACCAUACUCCAAUAAAACAAACAAAAUUCUAACUUGAUCUGUAUAAGCAGAAAAGUUCUAGGUCAGGUGAACAAAAGUCUCACCUGAAUUACAAAAACAGAGAGUCACAGACCCUCAAUCAACUCCUAAACUUGGGCAAGUUUAGUUACUCAGAACUCCUUGGAUGAAGAGAAGGCUGGGUCCCCUAAGGAAGGACCCUGGUACAUUGCCAAGAACUUACACUGUCAGUCUUUCUCCUAGCCUUCCCCAAAGGGAUCUAUAGCCUUUUACCUGAGUAAUUGCAUUGAAGAAAAGAAAAUAAUCAAACAUUUUGGAGACUAAUGCACACUGGCUCUGAACUGAUAUUAAUUCUAGAAGACUCAAAACAUCAUUGUCGUCCACUAGUCAGACCAGAGGAUUACAGAAGUCAGGUGAUGAUUGGAGUUUUAGCUCAGGUCUGUCUCACAGUGAGCCCUUUGGGUCCCUGAACUCAUCUAAUGUUUAUUUCCCCAGUUCCAGAAUGCAUAAUUGGAGUGGACAUAGUCAGCAGUUGACAGAAUCCCCACACUGAUUCCUUAACUUGUGGAGUGAGGACUAAUAUUGUGGGAAAGGCCAAGAGGAAUCCACCAGAACUAUCUCUACGUAGGAAAAUAGUAAGCCAAAACAAUACUGCUUUGCUGGAGGGAUUGCAGAGAUUAGUGCCAUCAAGGACUUGAGAGAUACAGGGGUGGUGAUUUCUACCACAUUCCCGUUCAGCUAGCCUAUCUGGCCUCUAGAAGGUUUGGAGAAUGAUAUUGGACUACCAUAAGCUUCCAUGUUGACUCCAAUUGAAGGUUCUGAACCAGAUGUAGCUUCAUUGCUUGAGCAAAUUAACAUAUCCUCUGGUAACUGGUAUGCAGCUAGUGAUCUGGAAAUGCCUUUUACUCCAUCUCUGUCAAUAAGGACCACAUUGCCUUCAGCUGGCAAGGCCAGAAAUAUACCUUCUCUGUCCUACCUCAGGGGUAUAUUAACUCUCCAGCCCCAUGUCUCAGUUUAGUUUGCAGGAAUCUUGAUCACAUUUCCCUUCCACAAGAUAUCACACUGGUCCAUUAGAUUGAUGACACAAUGCUGAUUGGACCUAGUGAGCAAGAACUAGCAACUACUCUAGUCUUAUUGGUAAGUCAUUUGCAUGCCAGAGUGUGAGAAAUAAAUCUGACAAAAGUUAAGGGGCCUUAAUGAUAUUUCUAGGGGUUCAGUGGUGUAGGACAUGUCCACAUAUCAUAUCUAAGGUAAAGGAUACGUUGUUGGAUCUGGCUCUUCCUACAGCUGAAAGAGAAGCACAGUGCUUGAUGAGCCCCUUUGAAUUUUAGAGGCCACAUACUACUCACUUGGAUUUGUUACUUUGGCCUAUUUACCAGGUGACCCAAAAGGUUGGUAGUUUUGAGUGGGUCCCAGAAUAGAAGGCUCUGCAUCAGGUCCAGGCUGCUGUGCAAGCUGCUCUACCACUUGAGCCACAUGACCCAGCAGAUGUCCAAUGGUGCUUAAAGUGUUGGUGGCAAAUAGGGAUGCUUUCUGGAGCCUUUGCCAGGCCCCUAUUGGUGAAUUACAGCCCAGGCCCUUCUAUCUGGGAGCAAACCCUGCCAAUCUCUGCAGAUAACAACUACUCUUCUGAGAAACAGACCUAGGCCUGCUUCUUGGCUUUAAUAGGGACUAAAUGAUUAACCAUGUGACACCAAGCUACCAUGUGAUUUGGGCUGUCUCUCAUGAACUGGGUUUUCUCUGAAUCACCAAACUAUUAAGUUGGGCAUGCACAAAAGCACUCCAUUAUCAAAUGAAAGUGGUACAAAACGGAUCAAAUCUGAGCAGGCCCUGAAGACACAAGCAAGUUAGAAGAAGUACUUAAAUAUCUAUGGCUUCUGCUUCUGCUACACUGAUGUCUCCCUUCCAGACUGCAUUUACAGCCUCUAGAGGAAUUCCCUGUGAUCACUAUAUUAAGCACUUUAUAUAUAUGAACUCACAAUAACCUUGAGGUGGGUAUUAUCUUUUCCUUUUUGUAGUUGAGGACAUUUAUUUUGGCCAAGACCAUUGACCUAGAGCUAGGCUUUGAAGACAGUUUAAUACCAACAUCUCCCUUUGACAACAUGUCAUACGCAUAUUUUCUAAAAUGCCACAGGGUACAUGUUGGAGAUGUCUCCUUUAACCCUGAUGUUAUUGUUAGUAAAUUUCUAUUUCUCCUUAUGGGCCAAAAAUGGUUGUGAGGGAAAGGGUAGCUAGAGGAAACAAACUAUAUAUCCAAAAGAAACUUCAAUUAAAUGUGAUAUAGUCAAGUUAGAUUUUUCUAGCAAGUAACAAUAACAGAGAAAGUGACCUAGCAUCUUUCCUCUGAUAAUACAGGACUUUUAGGGGGAGUACUGUUUAUUUUUCACAGGCCAAUUUUUUUUAACUCAACGAAUUUUUUUUAUAUUUAUAGUUGUACCAUUUUUGGGGUCUUUUUCGUCUUUUUAGGGCCACACCCAUGGCGUAUGGAGGUUCCCAGGCUAGGGGUUGAAUUGGAGCUGUAGCUGCCAGCCUAUACCACAGCCACAGCAAUGCCGGGUCCUUAACCCACUGCACAAGGCCAGGGAUUGAACCUGCAUCCUCAUGGAUACAAGUCGGACUUGUUAACCACUAAGCCAUGAGGGGAACUCCCAUUGUACCAUUUUUUGGUAGGACUUAAAAAUAAGAAAGAAUUCAUUUAGAGACAGUUUUCACCAGUGAAAAUUAUUUGCCUAAGUCUCCCUCCCUUCCACACUAAUUCUUCUCAUGUCCUCUAAUUCCAACCUUUAAAGCAUUUAAUCUAAUGAACAGUAUGGUGACUAUAGUUAACAAUUCUGUAAUGUAUACUUGAAAUGAGCAGAUUUUAAAUGUUCUCAUGACACAGACACACACACGGUAACUAUGUGAGGUGAUGGAUAUGAUAACUAACCUUAUUAUAGUAAUCAUAUAUAAUUAUCAUGUUGUAUACCUUAAAUUUACACGAUGUUAUAUGUCAAUUAUAUUCCAGUAAAGCUGGAAAAAAAUUAAAAACAGACAUCAGAAAAUAGCUUCCAUACAGCUGUUAAAGUAAUCAGAAUACUAGUCCAUCAGGUAAUCAAAAGUAAUUUCUUAGUUUAUUUAAAAAAAAAAAAAACUAUACCAGUUUUUAUCACGAAAACCCAAGCAGUAUUAGAGUCAGUCUGGUGGACUUUCCUUAGAGAUGUGAAUGAGUCCUCCAGUCUCCCUUUUGAAAACUGUGUCCUCACUGGCUAGGAAGUACAAGGAAGAAAGUAAUAAAUACAAGAGCAGAAAUCACUUAAAUAUAUAAUGAAGAAACUAUAGAUAAAAAUCAAUGAAACAAAGAGAUAGUUCUUUAAAAACCAACAAAUUUCAUAAACCUCUAGCUAUAAGAAUCAAGACAAAAAAGGGAAAAUUCAAAUUACCAAAUUCAAAAAUGUAAAAGGAAACAACAAUGCAGAUCUUACAGAUGUUAAAGAGUAAUUAGGAAAUGUUAUAAACAACUUCAUGCCGAAAACUUUGACAGCUAGAUGAAAGAGAUAAAUUCCUUGAAAGACACAAAUUACCAAAACCCUUAUAAGAAGAAAUAGGAAACUGAGUAGUCUACACAAGAAAUUGAAUUCAUAACUAUAAACCUUCCCAUAGAGAAAAUUUCAAGCAUACUUUCUUCACUGGGGAAUUCUAUUAAAUAUUUAUUAAUAUCUCUAUCAGAAAACUGAGGAGGAAAGAAUACUUCCACAUGCAUUUUACAGAGCCAGUAUUGUUCUGAUACCAAAAUCAAAGACAGGCAUCGCAAGAAAAGAAAAACUACACAUCAAUAUCUCUCAUGAAUAUGAAUGCAAAAACUCUGAAUACAAUAUUUACAAAUGAACUGAACAAAGCAAGGAUGUCCACUUUUACCACUUUUAUUUCUUAUUCUAGCAGAUUUCUAAAGGCCUAAAUGUUUCUCAAACUUCAUUCAUUACCCAGCUAUCUCAAAAAUUCAUGUUAUAUAUUUAAAACUCCUAUACAACCAAUACUUUAGGAAUGG
rnacentral:lncRNA from 1 species